GAGGCAGCAGUGGGGAAUAUUGGACAAUGGGCGCAAGCCUGAUCCAGCAAUGCCGCGUGUGUGAAGAAGGUCUUCGGAUUGUAAAGCACUUUCGACGGGGACGAUGAUGACGGUACCCGUAGAAGAAGCCCCGGCUAACUUCGUGCCAGCAGCCGCGGUAAUACGAAGGGGGCUAGCGUUGCUCGGAAUGACUGGGCGUAAAGGGCGCGUAGGCGGUUUGGACAGUCAGAUGUGAAAUUCCCGGGCUUAACCUGGGGGCUGCAUUUGAUACGUGACGACUAGAGUGUGAGAGAGGGUUGUGGAAUUCCCAGUGUAGAGGUGAAAUUCGUAGAUAUUGGGAAGAACACCGGUGGCGAAGGCGGCAACCUGGCUCAUAACUGACGCUGAGGCGCGAAAGCGUGGGGAGCAAACAGGAUUAGAUACCCUGGUAGUCCACGCUGUAAACGAUGUGUGCUGGAUGUUGGGUGACUUAGUCCCUCAGUGUCGUAGUUAACGCGAUAAGCACACCGCCUGGGGAGUACGGCCGCAAGGUUGAAA
rnacentral:rRNA from 1 species